CCUACGGGAGGCAGCAGUAGGGAAUCUUUCACAAUGGGCGAAAGCCUGAUGGAGCAACGCCGCGUGCAGGAUGAAGGCCUUCGGGUUGUAAACUGCUUUUAUAAGCGAGAAAUAUGAUGGUAACUUAUGAAUAAGGAUCGGCUAACUACGUGCCAGCAGCCGCGGUCAUACGUAGGAUCCGAGCAUUAUCCGGAGUGAAUGGGUGUAAAGAGUUGCGUAGGUGGCAUAAUAAGUAGCUAGUGAAAUCUGGUGGCUCAACCAUUCAGACUAUUAACUAAACGGUUAAGCUCGAGACCGUUAGGGGUAACUGGAAUUUCUAGUGUAGGAGUGAAAUCCGUAGAUAUUAGAAGGAACACCAAUAGCGUAGGCAGGUUGCUGGGACGGUUCUGACACUAAGGCACGAAAGCGUAGGGAGCAAACGGGAUUAGAUACCCUUGUAGUC
rnacentral:rRNA from 1 species